UUGCGAAUUUUCAAACUUUCGUUCAAAAUUCGACUUUAGUGAUCUACUAGACACUGGUUUUAGUUCAAAGUAAUCAGUUAGGCGUAAACUGUGAAUACGGGACGUUUAAAUAACACCAAGCGUACUAACCAUAAUUAACCAACGUAAAUUCAAUAAAUAUGAAAAUAAAGAGGGAAAAAGGCAUAUUCCUACCCUAAUAAAAUCUAUGAGAGGGGACAUGAGUGGCAUCAAAAUCCAAAGGAAGAGAGGGUACAAUUAACAUCACCAUAAAUUCCAAAGCCAAAAUUUAAAUUAAUGAGAAGAAGAAAAACAUGGAGAUGAUAAAGGGACAAGUUACAUCAAAUAAAAUUCAGGGGCGAAAACAUCUUAAACCCUACUUUUGUUCCUUGCCUUGUCUACAUCCUCCUCUUUAACCCUUUUCUCUCCUUUUGUUUCUAUCCCAAAAAACUCUCAUGAGUUUUCAAAUCAACGUACCCCAAAUUUUUCAAUCGAAUUUUGGGUCACUUUGUCUUAUAUAUCACAUCAUUUUGUCGUGUUUUAUCAAUGUGUAUCUACUUUGUCUGAUCAAUAUAUAUAUCUACUGAUCACUAUGGAAUUCACAUGAAAUUGUAAACCAGUGAAUAAUAUAAAUUCUCGGUCCAGCCUACAUGAUUACAAAAAAAUGCGCCCGCACACAUAAAUGGAUUGUAU